CUUGGAGAAAAUGGAAAAUGGUUUAAUAACUUGAUAGCUCAAAUAGUUCGAGACACAAUAUCUCCUCGUAUUACGAAUUGGGAGGAUGUCUCUUUGGCCGAAAAACAACUCAUAUUUGACCGUCUUGAUAACAAAUUUGAAUAUGAAAAGACGAACUUGGUGAUUGCGGAGGUAGAGCGGCUUGCCAUGAGAGCUAUUCGAGAAGGAAGGUGUAAGAUGAGGAGGCAUUGGAAACAACUCGGGGGACUUGGAAAUAAAGAUUCACCAAAAAGGAAGCCGUACAAGGGAGUAAGCCAAGAUGAUUGGGAUUUUCUUUGUAAUUAUUUUGGCACAAAAAAACAAAUGGAAAUAUCUGAAAAGAAUACUAAUAAUCGGUUUAAUAGGCCACUUGAAGGUGCACAUGGAUCGAAAACUUUGGU